rnacentral:rRNA from 1 species
UACGACUACAUAUCAGGCAUAUCAAUAAGCGGAGGAAAAGAAACUAACAAGGAUUCCCUUAGUAACGGCGAGUGAAGCGGGAAGAGCUCAAAUUUGAAAUCUUCAAGGUUUUACCUUGACGAAUUGUAGUUUAAAGAAGUGUUUUCUGUUGAAGUUUUGGUAAAAGUUCUUUGGAAUAGGACAUCAUAGAGGGUGAGAAUCCCGUAUUUGACCAUUAUUUCCAGCUUUGUGAUACACUUUCAAAGAGUCGGAUUGUUUGGGAAUGCAGUCCAAAAUGGGUGGUAAAUUUCAUCUAAAGCUAAAUAUUGGCGAGAGACCGAUAGCGAACAAGUACCGUGAGGGAAAGAUGAAAAGAACUUUGAAAAGAGAGUUAAACAGUACGUGAAAUUGUCAAAAGGGAAGCGUUUGACACCAGUGUUGUUUUCUCGAAAAUCAAUUAAAAAAGGCAGGAUUUUGUGUUGUAUUGACUUUAUCAGCUUUCUGCACUCUUUUCUUGUCUUUUUUAAUGCACUUUUCGUUUAACAAGUCAACAUCAAUUUCUUUUGUUGUAAAAGGGUCAUUGGAAGGUGGCUUUCUUUUCGGAAAAAGUGUUUAUAGCCUUUGGCCUCUGCAAUCGGAGAGACUGAGGUCUGCAGCGUAGAUCCUUCGGGGUUAGAUACAUUUGUGCUAAGCUACUAGCUUUUCAUAGACAACUUGUUGACUAUGAUUUAGUCAUUGUAGCUUACCUCGCUUAUGCUAUUUUACCUACGCUUAGGAUGUUGAGCGCAUGUCUCUCUCU